ACCAAUUCUGGAGGAUGAUUUUGUUCCUCUUGGUAUAAUGGCUCGGAUGCGACAUGCUAUUUUUUCAUAUCCUGAUUGGUGGCUUUAUUGGUGCCAAUCUAAUCCUGGAAAGGCUGCAUAUAUUC